rnacentral:tRNA from 3 species
GGAGAGGUGACCGAGUGGCCUAUGGUAACAGUUUACUAAACUGUCGUAACGCAAGUUACCGGGGGUUCGAAUCCCCCCCUCUCCG